rnacentral:rRNA from 1 species
UACGGAGGGUGCGAGCGUUGUCCGGAAUCAUUGGGCGUAAAGGGCGCGUAGGUGGCCCGGUCAGCGUGCGGUGAAAGCUCGGGGCUCAACCCCGAGUCGGCCGUGCGAACUGCUGGGCUCGAGCACUGUAGAGGCAGGCGGAAUUCCGGGUGUAGCGGUGGAAUGCGUAGAGAUCCGGAAGAACACCGGUGGCGAAGGCGGCUUCCUGGACCGAUUACUGACGCUGAGGCGCGAAAGCUAGGGGAGCAAACGGG